AGUGAACGCUGGCGGCGUGCUUAACACAUGCAAGUCGAACGAGAACGGGUUAUAGCUUGCUAUAAUUGUCAGCUAAGUGGCGCACGGGUGAGUAAUGUAUAGGUAAUAUGCCUCUUACUAAGGGAUAACAAAUGGAAACGUUUGCUAAUACCUUAUACUCCUUAUUAACAGAAGUUAAUAAGGGAAAGAUUUAUUGGUAAGAGAUUAGCCUGUAUUGUAUCAGUUAGUUGGUGGGGUAAUGGCUUACCAAGACUAUGACACAUAACUGGUUUGAGAGGAUGAUCAGUCACACUGGAACUGAGACACGGUCCAGACUCCUACGGGAGGCAGCAGUGGGGAAUAUUGCACAAUGGACGAAAGUCUGAUGCAGCAACGCCGCGUGGAGGAUGACACAUUUCGGUGCGUAAACUCCUUUUAUAUGAGAAGAUAAUGACGGUAUUAUAUGAAUAAGCACCGGCUAACUCCGUGCCAGCAGCCGCGGUAA
rnacentral:rRNA from 1 species